rnacentral:lncRNA from 1 species
AGACUGUUUCUUUACUUUGAAAGCAUGGAUAGCUCAACAAGCUGGAGCAGCAGCGAUUCUUGUAGCUGACAACAAAGCUGAGCCAUUGAUCACUAUGGAUACACCUGAAGAGGAUAAGUCAGAUGCGGAUUAUCUUCAAAACAUUACCAUUCCUUCAGCUCUCAUCACCAAGUCUUUGGGAGACAGUAUAAAGUCUGCUCUCUCCGGUGGUAAUAAGUUUACAUUUUUGUUUUCUUUAAUUAAAAUAUGUUAAACUGGUACAGUAGGUUAAUUAACCUAAUAAACCGAUAAACUUAAAUAAAAUUGAAUCAAUAUAUAUAUAUAUAUAUAUUUAUACCAAAUAUGAUAUAUAAGUUGAUGUAUAAAUCUAUUUGUAAUUAUAUUUAUUUUAUUUUUCACUAUUGUGAUAUAUAGUUUUAAUAUCAAGCACCCGCCAACGUGCAGAAAAUUCAGAUCUUCUAAUUUUCAGUAAAGUAUGAAAAAUAUUAAGGUAAUCAACAAUGUUUUAGUUCCAGUGAUGAUGAUAACAAAUAUAGUCUUAUUGUCUGUAAUGUGAUUUGGUUAACUUUUCUCAAUUUUUUAUAAGUUCAUUACGAAGUGAAGAAGAAGACAGAGAGAGAUAAUAAAACAACCAAUAGACGCCAAUCCAUUGGAAAUAGUGCUUUCUAGGAGAUCCCAACCCAAGUUAUAAGAAAAUCAUCACCAAACCGGAGCUCUCGAGGCUCAAAACCAUCAUGUAAAAUUUCAAACACUAACAUUACUUUUAGGAGAGGGAGAAGAACAACAAAGGAUAACCAGGCUGCACUAUUUUCUUUUCCAAUUUAUCUAAUAUUAAGAGAAAAAAAAAAUUCACAAGACCCAAGUUUUAGUGUUGAAUAAUAGUAAGGUGAAUUGUUUGCUAAUGUUUCUUACAAUCAAACAGGAGAUAAUGAGAGGAGCAAGUGGGUGACAGGUCGUACCACCCUGCUGCCAUCUCACCAAGCAGGGUUGGAAUCCUACAAAUGCCUUUAAUAAGAAGAAUUACUAGGCCAUUGUGCCACAGAUGAUAAAAAAAAAUUAAGUUGAAGAUAACUGAUGAGUAUUACGAUUCUGAAUAAAACAUCUAUCAUUUUUUUUUUUUUGAAAAACAGAUGAAUUUUGUCGGCCAAUUAUGUAUUGGCAGUAUCCCCAUAUUCAAUAAUUCAACUUUCCAAAUUUGACUUACAAAUAAGAAAUUUGUGAAUUUAUGACACGAGUGAAUUGGAUAUGAACAGGAAGAAAUAAUAUUUUACCAUUGAAUUCUGAUCAAUUAAGAUUAUUUAUUUUUAAGAUUUUUUUAUAAUUUAAAUUAGUAUUUAAAUAUCUAGAUGAAAGAAAUUAUAAGUUAUUAUUAAGCUACAGAAAUGGUAUAUCAGUAUCUUAAAAAUGUUGCUUCAAGAAGUUGUAGUAGGAAAUAGUUUUCAUAAUUUAUGUCUCAUGUUACAAUAUAAAAAACUUGCCCUAACAAUAAAUAAAAUUAAAUAGCCAACUAAUCAUGGCAACUACAGCAAAUGUAGUUGGACACAUUCUCAUGAUGUUAGAAACUAACCACUACAAUCCAAAAAUAGAAACAAACUCAUAGUUGGACUGCUUUUAAAUAUGUACAUACGAAUUAAAAUAUUUACAUUGUAAAACAUACAUUCUAACUCAUUUUAAACUAUAUUAUUAAUCAAUGAUGGGGAGUUGCAAAACAUAAGUAAUUGAAAAUAUAAAUUUGUUGUGGUGACAAGAAAUUAUCUCCAAAAUAUUCAAGGUAAUAACAAAUAUAAAUUUAAAGGCUUAUAAUACAUACUGAUUAAUAAAUUUUAUUUAAAAAGAAAUUAUUAUUUAGCUAAGAAGAUUAUCAUCAAGAAAACAUAACUAAGAGCAAUUUUAGUGCGACAUAUUCGAAGCUUUCUAUGUAUUCUAAACUCAAUUUUAGUAUUUUGGCAAACAAAUAAAAAAAAUAUUACAAAAAUGAGAGAAAAAAUGUUAUAUGCAACAAAAAUCAGAGCAUGUCUCUCCUAAAAUACUAUAUUCUACACACUAGAUAGUUUAUGAACACAAAAACAUUGUACAAUAUUUGAUAUUAACAUAACAAAAUCAUUAAUAUAAUUUAAAUAGUAAUUAUUCGCGCGUAGCGCGGAAAACGACCUAGUAAACAUAAAUUUACGGAGACGACAAAGAAGAACAAUUCCAUUAAAAUUCCUUUUUCAAUUUAGUUAACUCAUAAGAUUCAUGUAUCUAUUAUCUCUAAUCGUAAUAAGUCGUAACAAUAGAAAUUAUAAUAACAAUAGAUAAACCUUCCUUCUCUUCCUUAACUCAUAAGCCUCUCUAUCUCUCUCCUCCUGAAUCAAACAAACACUGUUCACUUACUUGACCAAUCAAUAAAGCAUCCUCCUCCAUUUCACGAGAUCUUCGUUCUCAAUCUUCUCUGCAAUCUAGGGUUUCAGAUCUCAAUCUCUACCUCGAAUCCGUUCCCCAAUCAUGAGUCGGGAGAAGCUAAGGUUCUUCACCCUCUCGUUUCUUCUGAUCCUGAGUCCAGCGCUCUGUAGAUUCGUCGUGGAGAAGAACAACCUCAAAGUCACAUCACCCGACUCCAUCAAAGGCAUUUACGAGUGUGCCAUUGGGAACUUCGGAGUUCCUCAGUACGGUGGUACUUUAGUCGGCACCGUUGCCUAUCCCAAAUCGAAUCAGAAAGCUUGUAAAAGCUACAACGAUUUCGACAUCUCCUUCAAAUCUAAGCCUGGGGGCUUACCCACUUUUGUCCUCAUCGAUCGUGGAGGUUCCAUCUUACCCUUUGCUCAAUUAGGUUCAUAGUAUGUGGGAAUGAUUUAGUUUUUGGUUUUAGUAUGUGAAAAAGAUUCAGUUUUUGGUUAUAGUAUGUGGAAAAGAUUCAAUUUUUGAUUAUGGUGUGAGGAAGAUAUAUCAUUGUUUGGUUAUAAUAUGUGGAAAAGAUUCAGUUUUUGGUUAUAGUAUUUUGGAAAGGUUCAGUUUUUGGGUUUAGUAUGUGGAAAAGACUCAGUUUUUGGUUAUAGUAUGCGGAAAAUAUUCAAUUUUAGUAAUAGUAUAUGAAAAAAAAUCAAUUUUGGUUAUAGUAUGUGGAAAAAAUUCGUUUUUUGAUUAUAAUAUGUGGAAAAAGUUCAAUUUUUUGGUUAUAUUUUUCUGGAAAGAUUCAAACUCUGGUUAUAGUAUUUUGAAUAAUAUUCAGUUUUUGGUUAUGUUUUCUGGAAAAGAUUCAAUUUUUGGUUAUAGUUUGUGGAAAAGAUUUGUAUUUUGGAACUGAAUGUGAGUUUGUUUUUGUGAACACAGACUGUUUCUUUACUUUGAAAGCAUGGAUAGCUCAACAAGCUGGAGCAGCAGCGAUUCUUGUAGCUGACAACAAAGCUGAGCCAUUGAUCACUAUGGAUACACCUGAAGAGGAUAAGUCAGAUGCGGAUUAUCUUCAAAACAUUACCAUUCCUUCAGCUCUCAUCACCAAGUCUUUGGGAGACAGUAUAAAGUCUGCUCUCUCCGGUGGCGACAUGGUGAACAUGAAGCUGGACUGGACUGAGUCUGUUCCU